rnacentral:rRNA from 1 species
UACAGAGGUCUCAAGCGUUGUUCGGAAUCACUGGGCGUAAAGGGUGCGUAGGUGGCGUGGUAAGUCAGAUGUGAAAAGCCCGGGGCUCAACCUCGGAAUUGCAUCCGAUACUACCAUGCUAGAGUACUGAAGAGGUGACUAGAAUUCUCGGUGUAGCAGUGAAAUGCGUAGAUAUCGAGAGGAAUACCAAAGGCGAAGGCAGGUCACUGGGCAGUUACUGACACUGAGGCACGAAGGCUAGGGGAGCAAACGGG